rnacentral:rRNA from 1 species
UACGUAGGGAGCAAGCGUUGUUCGGAUUUACUGGGCGUAAAGGGCGCGUAGGCGGCAAUUCAAGUCAGCUGUGAAAUCUCCGGGCUUAACUCGGAACGGUCAGCUGAUACUGCUUUGCUAGAGUGCGGAAGGGGCAAUCGGAAUUCUCGGUGUAGCGGUGAAAUGCGUAGAUAUCGAGAGGAACACCUGCGGCGAAGGCGGGUUGCUGGGCUGACACUGACGCUGAGGCGCGAAAGCUAGGGGAGCGAACGGG